CUCUUCGAUCUUGUCACCUUCCAAAGUAUCUUUGCUAACAAACUUGUCAACCGUUGCUCAUGUGGCUUCCGCGCAGUAAUCAAUGCGUAAGACACAAGAAUCCACAUCACAUUGGUUUCAUCAAAUAUACAAAUACAAAUACCAUUUGUUGAUUAUAUGAACAUCUACAAACUCAUCAUCUUCUUUGUUUUACACCAUCAGAAACCACCAUGAUAUCAUCCUUAAAGUACACAGCACCCUCACCCCUCGCCGGCUCUGCUGCAUUCUCCUGCAGAAAGCGUGUUCCUGUUCCAAGGCUACCACCCUCUAUUCAAAAUCUUCAACAAAGCACUGCACUACCCUCUUUCUCUUCCCAUAAACCACUUUACAUUAUUCCAUGCACUCAGAACCUCACAUUGUCAACUAAACCUAGAAGGAAGGUUGCAGAGUGUCAUGCCUAUGAGGCAGAUAAGUCACAACCACAAGCAGCAGGGACAUCAGAGGCGGCUCAGAAGCUCAAGAUUGGUUUGUAUUUUGCUACAUGGUGGGCACUGAACGUUGUCUUCAACAUAUACAACAAGAAGGUUCUCAAUGCUUUUCCUUACCCUUGGCUCACUUCCACUCUGUCCCUCGCCGCAGGCUCUCUUAUCAUGUUCAUCUCCUGGGCCACAAGGCUCGCUCAUGUCCCUAAAGUUAACAUGGAUUUCUGGAAGGCCUUGUUCCCGGUUGCAGUAGCACACACCAUUGGGCAUGUUGCAGCUACUGUGAGUAUGUCCAAAGUUGCAGUGUCAUUUACUCACAUCAUCAAGAGUGGAGAACCGGCUUUCAGCGUCCUAGUAUCGAGGUUCUUGCUCGGCAAAUCGUUCCCUAUACCGGUUUACUUAUCACUGGUGCCAAUUAUUGGAGGUUGUGCUCUUGCUGCUGUGACCGAACUCAAUUAUAAUAUGAUCGGGUUUGUGGGGGCUAUGAUAUCAAACUUGGCAUUUGUGUUUAGGAACAUAUUCUCAAAGAAGGGAAUGAAGGGCAUGUCUGUUAGUGGAUUGAACUAUUGUGCUUGCCUUUCCAUAUUGUCUCUAUUGAUUCUCAUACCUUUUGCCAUUCUUGUGGAGGGUCCUAAGAUGUGGGCUGUUGGCUGGCAAACUGCCCUCUCUCAGAUUGGUCCAAAUUUUGUUUGGUGGGUAGUUGCUCAGAGUGUGUUCUACCACUUGUGUAAUCAAGUCUCUUGCAUGUCUCUUGAUCAAAUAUCUCCCUUGACAUUUAGCAUAGGGAACACAAUGAAGAGAAUUUCAGUAAUUUUCUCUUCCACACGCCAAUUCAUCCCACCAAUGCAGUUGCUGCUGCGAUUGCAAUUCUUGGCACCUUCCUUUAUUCACAGGCAAAACAGUGAGGCCUAAUUCAGAAGCUAAGUUAAGUGAAUGCUUAUUCAGGGAUGGAGCUAGAACUAUGAGCCUGUCAGUGAUAGUGAGAACAGUUGAUGUUACUAAUCAUGUUUUGAUCUUUGUCAUUGUAGACGAAAUUUUCGUUUCUUUCGUGUAAUCUAAGGCUGAGAAGAAUUUACUUUGAUUCAAUAAGGACUAAGAACGAACUCUGGAAUUCUCACCCAAUGACAGCAUUUGAGGAUAGUUCAACAUUGUGCAAAUGUCUUAAUUACAAAAAACUAAGCUUUCAAGUUUGGAAAGAUCUUGUAAAGAACCCAAGAAUACCUCCAAGGAUUGCAAUGCAAGCUCUUAUUUCCCAAAAAGCAAAAAUCCCAUCAAGUCUUUUUGCAAUUAAUGGAAGUCGCAUAAUGCAAGAAUAAUACCUGAUUAUGAGGCUCGGCUCCAGUCAUAACAGUUGGCAUCACAACAGUUGGCACAAUUUCAUCCCACCACAAACGACCAAAUGUCUGUGUUUUGUUCCAAAACAGGUCCAUAACCAUUUACAGUAGGAUCAUUCAUGAUUCCCAAAGAGUUGUUCACUUCAGGAGUUUCCUCCUCCAGGGGUUGUGUGGAGUCAUUUGUGUAUUUGCUAGGAAGAAUUUUCUCAUUGUAUGAACCUGGAAUUGCAUUUCCAGAAGCAACAAUGGAAGAAUAAAGGCAGUUGCAUGGCUGAUACAUGAUGCAGAUUGCAAAGAUUCACAAGGAUCAUCAUUAGACAAAUAGGAUUCAGUACCGCUGACACUCUUAGUUCUCCAUGGUCCAGUGUUGGAUUCAAGCCCCUGAGACUUUUCACUGCUAGGAGCAACGAAAUCAGGAACUGUUGAGAUUGACCUCUGAAUGGUUGAUGUUGUAUUAGGAAGAGGCAGACUGUUAAGCGGAAUUUAUGGGAAGAGAUUCCUUCAUCAGCAAGAAAAGAUGUCUCCAAAGCCAGAUGGUAAGCUGCAAAAACUGCAUACUGAACCACAUGCUUUACCUCCUUCAAUUCUUCCUCAUCAGCACCUUUAAGUAAAAUCUGUUCAACGAUGUCAAAAUUAGAAAAAUAUUAAUGUGUAGUUGGUAGUAAUGACAAUUAAGUUAUAUUUUUUCCUUAAGAAAGACACAUGCCUUGUGGUUGCUAGUGCACACACAUUUUACAUGAUUUGUAAUUUACAA